rnacentral:lncRNA from 1 species
GGACUUAAUUAUAAAUAUUAUAAUUUUAUUAAGGUUGAUUAAAUUAUGAAUUAAAUUUUAAUUAAUUUAAAUUAAAUUAAAUUUAAUUAUAUUUAAUUUAAUUUAAUAUUAAUUGGAUCUAAUUAUCCAAAUUAGAUUUGGAUUUCAAGCUUCAUUGGAUCAGGCUUGACAGCCUUUCGAAUUCGACUCGAUUCGGAUUCGAUUUGAAUCCUAUUGAGACCUAAUCUAAAUCAAAUGAACUAUAACUCAGAGAGCCCAGGUUCUCUGAAACUCUUUCUCUAGAUUUCACGCCA